CCCGCUCAGAAACUUAAAUGAAUUGACGGGGACCCGCACAAGCAGCGGAGCAUGUGGUUUAAUUCGAAGCAACGCGAAGAACCUUACCAGAUCUUGACAUCCAAUUGACCAUCUUUUAAUCGAGAUUUUUACCUUCGGGUACAAUUGAGACAGGUGGUGCAUGGUUGUCGUCAGCUCGUGUCGUGAGAUGUUGGGUUAAGUCCCGCAACGAGCGCAACCCUUGUGUUUAGUUGCAAACAGGUCAAGCUGUGCACUCUAGACAGACUGCCGUGGACAACACGGAGGAAGGUGGGGAUGACGUCAAAUCAUCAUGCCCCUUAUGAUCUGGGCUACACACGUGCUACAAUGGCCGGUACAACGGGCAGCGAAGGAGCGAUCCGGAGCGAAUCCUAAAAAGCCGGUCCCAGUUCGGAUUGCAGGCUGAAACUCGCCUACAUGAAGUUGGAGUUGCUAGUAAUCGCGAAUCAGAAUGUCGCGGUGAAUGCGUUCCCGGGUCUU
rnacentral:rRNA from 1 species